CCAGCAGCCGCGGUAAUACGUAGGGUGCAAGCGUUGUCCGGAUUUAUUGGGCGUAAAGAGCUCGUAGGCGGUUAGUCACGUCGGAUGUGAAAACCCAGUGCUUAACACUGGGCCUGCAUUCGAUACGGGCUGACUAGAGUGUUGUAGGGGAGACUGGAACUCCUGGUGUAGCGGUGAAAUGCGCAGAUAUCAAGAAGAACACCGGUGGCGAAGGCGGGUCUCUGGGCAACUACUGACGCUGAGGAGCGAAAGCGUGGGGAGCAAACAGGAUUAGAUACCCUGGUAGUCCACGCCGUAAACGGUGGGCGCUAGGUGUGGGGAACAUUCCACGUUCUCCGUGCCGCAGCUAACGCAUUAAGUGCCCCCCCUUGGGGAUUACGCCCGCAGGCUAAACUCAAAGAAUUGACGGGCACCGCAUCAAGCGGCGGAGCAUGCGAGCUGAUUCAAUGCACGCGAAGAACCUUACCUAGCCUUGACAGUUCGGGAAAUUUGCCAGAGAUGCCAGGUCCCGUAAGGGCCCCAAAACAGGUGGUGCAUGGCUGUCGUCAGCUCGUGUCGUGAGAUGUUGGAUUAAGUCCCGCAACGAGCGCAACCCCUCGUCGUAUGUUGCCAGCGGAUAAUGCCGGGGACUCAUACGAGACUGCCGGGGUCAACUCGGAGGAAGGUGGGGGCGACGUCAAGUCAUCAUGCCCCUUAUGUAUAGGGCUGCACGCAUGCUACUAUGGCCGGUACAGAGGGCUGCGAUACCGCGAGGUGGAGCGAAUCCCAAAAAGCCGGUCUCAGUUCGGAUUGGGGUUUGCAACUCGACCCCAUGAAGUCGGAGUCGCUAGUAAUCGCAGAUCAGCAACGCUGCGGUGAAUACGUUCCCGGGCCUUGUACACACCGCCCGUCACGUCACGAAAGUCGGCAACACCCGAAGCCGGUGGCCUAACCCUUGUGGAAGGAGCCGUUGAAGGUGGGGCUGGUGAUUGGGACGAAGUCGUAACAAGGUAGCCGAU
rnacentral:rRNA from 1 species